UGCCUUCUCUGCUGCUGCCCCCCCCCCCCGGGGCUUUGGGAUGCGCAGCUCCCUGUUGAAAGAAGAGCCUCCCCUCUCUGGCAUCUUUCAAAAAGGCACGGGAGACAUUUGCUUUAUUAGAUUUAUACUGUUAAUACUUUCAAUAUUGGGCUUAAAAUUAUUUUAAUGUUUUAAUCAUUUCAGUUUUGUUUAAUUUGUAAUGUUUUUACUGUACACUGCCCAGAAACACAGGUUUUGGUUGGUAUAUAAAUGUUAAAUAAAUAAAAGUCACAGAAUCAAAACAUGCACAUUUUCCACAUGCAGGAAGCCUUAAGGUGCACCUCCUUAGAGGGCAGCAAGUUUUGUUUCUGCAUUUCGGCGCGGGGGGGGGGGAGAGGCCGGCAGCUGCCCAGUCCCAAACCCUCCAUGCUUCGCUCCCUGCUGUUGAUGAAGAGCAGAGCCAAGUGGGACCUUCACGAGAUGGGGGAGCGCUUGACCGGCGGAACUCCUUGCCAGGAGAGCACCAACUAGCAGCAGCAGCAGAGCGGCCCAAGGGGCGGGCAAAGCUGCUGGGGGCGGUUGUGGGGUGGAGUCGCCCUUUGCAAAGCCCCCAAAGCGUCCCAGGAAAAGCCUCCUCCGUCUGCCGCUUGCUGCGCAUGCUCAGCAGCCAGAGUCCAGGAGACUCCUCCUCCUGCAGCCCAGACUAGGCAAAACCUGGCCAGGCAUCCAUGCUGCACGUGGGGACCCUCCUCCUGGGAACGGGUCCUGUUUCCUCCCAAGCUGCACGGAAUGGGGGACACACACACACACACCGGGGGCCCCUUGCAGUUCUCCCAGGCUCGGGCCGCCCUUCAGCCGUGCAAAGUCUCUUAGCCCCGAGAUCGGGGACUGCUUUGGCCAGCGGAGGAGGAGGAGGAGGAGGAGGAGGGAAGGGCUGGAGAGGAGCCCGCCUGCCAGAGGGAGCCGCAGGAGCCAGCUGGCCCUCCAGACAGCCAAUGGCUCCUUGCAGGCUGAGGGAUACAGGGGCACGCGCACGCGCCGCGGUAAGAGAUUCAAUCGGGGGAGGGGGAACCCGCUCUGGGAGCAGCCCCCGCCUGCCUGCCUGCUUGCCUGCAGAGGGUCCCACGUCCCCUCCCUGGCAGCAGCAUCGCCAAGACAGCGCUGGGAGAGACUCCUGCCUGCAGGGCAGCCUUGGAGAAGCCGCUGCUGCCCGUCUGGGUAGACGGCGCUGAGCUAGGUGGAGCAAGGGGCUGACUCGGUCGUCUACGGCAGCUGCCUCUGCUCUUAAAGAUCCCUGCCCCGCACUCGCGAGGGGGUCCAGGCCAGUCCCAGAGGACUGGCAGCCCGAGCUGGCAGCAGCCAAAGAUCCUUGCCCCCCCCCCCCAGAUUGCGACAUGCUGCUGCCAGCUGAGUAUAGACAAUACGCAGCGAAGCGGACCAAGGGCCUGACUCGGCAGAAGGAACGUGCCUGCCAUUGCUCGACUUUAAAAAAAGAACCACAACAAAAAAAGCCUCAGGAGAAUGUGCAGCCCUUUAUAGAAUAACUGGAGCAGAGUGCAAAGCACGAUACAGAGAAGGAGAGACCAUUUUUUUAAAAAAUCACACUCUUUCCCUUUGCACCCGCCCCCCACUUGGUGCCUUCAUUCCUGGGGGCUCCCAUCUGCAGUGGGGUGGGGGGGAGUUCGGAAGCUGCCAGGCUAUCCAAAACGGCACGGAGGCUUCAGGGCGGGCCACUGGGCAUGCGCAGCCGGCGCUGCAGACAUGCGCAGAGGGCGCAGAGCCGCAAAGCCUCGGCGGGGGAAUUCUGGCGGGCUUUCUGCGCUCCUCCCCGCGCGCCCCUGGGAGCCGAAUCCACUCCUCUGAUUGGUUGGCGGGGUGACAGGCGCAUCACUGAUUGGCGAGCAGCUGGACAGCGGGCUCCGCCUCGAGCGCGCCACGUUUGAUGGAGAAAUAAUUUGAGACACCUGAGGCGGCAAAGGAGGACGAAGAGCAGGGCCGAGAAGGAGAGGUUCUCCUCAGGGAACUAGGGGGCUUCACGCCCCACAUUGCAGCAGGAGGGCCAGGGCCGAGAAGGAGAGGUUCUCCUCAGGGAACUAGGGGGCUUCACGCCCCACAUUGCAGCAGGAGGGCCAGGGCCGAGAAGGAGAGGUUCUCCUCAGGGAACUAGGGGGCUUCACGCCCCACAUUGCAGCAGGAGGGCCAGGGCCGAGAAGGAGAGGUUCUCCUCAGGGAACUAGGGGGCUUCACGCCCCACAUUGCAGCAGGAGGGCCAGGGCCGGGGAGGAGAGGUUCUCCUCAGGGAAUUAGGGGGCUUCACGCCCCACAUUGCCCCUACUCGGCUGCUGAGGAAGGCCAACCACAAGCCUCUAAGGGGCAGAGAAAUGCUCUGAGGGAAGGCUGUCUCCCAGACAGGGCAAGGAAGGGCUCUAUGCCCAGCAGUGGCUUUUGCCUUAGCAUUUAUUGAGAAUAAUUCAUAAAUAGGCAUGGAGAAAAAGCUGUCUCUAAGCUUGCUUCUAAUCCUCUGGGGGAAGGGCUGUGUGCCCACCUUUAGCUCACAGGCAAAAAUUCUCUGAGGGGAGGCUCUCUCCAGGACAGAGCAAGGAAGGGCUCCAUGCCCAGCCUUGGCUUUUGCUUCACCAAAAUAAUGAUAAUAAAUUUCUGUUGCUUCAGAAAAAGGAGGAGGAAACCACUCAAGCCAUGCUACUCAGCCAGGCUAGGGCUUUUUAAAAGAAUGCUUUGUGGGAGAGUGGUGGGAUUAUGGUCUUCAAGACCCCUGCCAAAAACCAGUUUCUGAGGGGAAGUGAAGUUUCUGAGUGGGGAGUUCAUCUCCCUGCUUUGGCUUCAUCUUGUGCAAUAAAUAAAUAAAUAAAUCUGAGGGGAAAGGAAGUUUCUGAGUGGGGAGUUCAUCUCUCUGCUUUGGCUUCAUCUUGCCAAAAGAACUCAAACCCCUUCUGUGGAUGCUGCAGCCGUGCUGACGUGUGCAAAAGCCCUGCCACCUCACUGCCCACAUUUGUAGCAUUUGUCUGCAGAGGGCAACACGCCACAGAUUCUCCCCGUCCUCAGAACACUGGGGCGCCACAGUCUUCUGCAUCACGGUGAAAACCUGUCCACUCUUAGCGCGUUCUUGCUCUGUGCAGACAAAUGCUAGAACUAUGGACCGCGUAGGGCAGGACUUCUGAGCGCAACGGCACAGGGGCUGUAGCAGGAAAUUCCCUGAGGCCAGGGGCUGCUGUGCAACUACAGACUGGCCCUUUUAGUCUGAGAAAACUGGGUGCGACCUGAGGCUCCUUUAUUCUCCCAACAGCUGUGUAUGGCAGCAUAAUUCCUAAGAGAGUGGCUGGCUUGAAUGGAACACCCUCCCUGCGCAUUAAAAGGCUUAGGCUUCUAGAUACUCAGAACACUUUUCUGAGGCAGCAUAAGCUCUAAUUUUCAGGCAGGCUUGUAUGGAACAUGCUUCAGGCUUCUUAAUUCUCUCAAGAGAAGAGAGGAUUCUCUUUAUAGUCUCUCAAAUUCUUUUUAAUGAGUUAUAUCUUUCAUAUUUGUGAAUGGCAUAGAGCUAUCUGGAUGAGGGGUAUAGACACUUAAUGAAAGAAUGAUUAAAUAAAACAGCUGUGGGAGUCAACAUAAUCUCAAAAAUGGGGGCUGGCUUGUAUGCAUAAUAGAAGCACCAGGAUGCUUUAUAACUGCCAACUUUAUAGGGAAGGAUAAUCUCAAAUUUAGAACCUAUCUUUAACUGAAAAUUUUUCAUGUGUGUUCUCUCCCCACAACAUCGCUUGGAGGACAAUUUAGCAAAAAGAAACGGAGUUGGUGCAUGUGUCCCUAUGACCCACAGACCGGAGUGCUGCUCUUGGAGCAUUUGUUCCUCUCCAGAGGCCAACGUGGCAGCCUUGUCAAGCUGGAUAUCCUCUAAGAUGGAGACUGCCUUUAACAGGACACACUUCAUGUGUGCUGCAUGCUCAGCAGCCCUUUGUGCCAUGUUUGGAAAGAAGAAACAGAGUUGGCACACAUUUGCAAUGACCUCCAUGCCGGAGUGGGGAUUUUGGAAUGUUUUUUCCUCCCAAGAGGCCUGUGUGGGAGGCAGGAUCAAAGACGGGCUGAACCAAGUGGGAUUCAAGAAAGAGCACAAGGAAUGAGGAGGACACAGAGGACAAGACAAGCUGACCGGAUCAAUCUUGUGACGAGGAGGCGCAUUGUCCGAGAAUUGAACAGAUUUCAUGAAAGAGCUGAAGGAGCGAGGACAAGACAAGCUGUCUCAAUCUCUUUCGUGAUGAGGCUUCAUCAGAGAACUGAAGAACAUAUACAAAAUAUAAAGAUGUAUACAAAUACUGAGCAUACUUAUUUAUUACAUACCGAUUGUCACAGGAGAAUAGAAAAAUGAAACUCUGAAAAUGUAUUACUCAGGAAAUCUAAGGUGUCAUCCUUCAUAAAUGCCUCAUACUCUAACAUCAUGUGGAUUUGCUCACACUUCAAAUAAAUUAUGUAACUUGUUCUUUCCCGAAGGAUUUCAAAAACAGACCAGUGGAGGCGACAAGAGACAAGCCACGCCAAGCAAAACUGCAUUACCCUUUUAGGGUUUUUUUUCAGAUUGGUCUCAAAACGAGUGGCUGGCUGCUGCAAAUAGAGGCUUCAAGCGAGAGUUGAUUUUGUCCUUGACCCUGUGAGGUAAGUUAGCCUGGAAUAAUAUGUGCUGGCUUCAAGGGUUCAUGCCUAAAAAAUAAGAAUACAUUUGUUUAAAUUGUUUGUAUCCUGUCUAUUCAAGAGCCUUAAACAACCAUCUCUUCAGCCUGGCUUUUAAUGAUAUCUUGUUUUAAUCUUAAUUUUAAUUAGAUUUAAUCUGUUUUAAAUGUUUCUUGAUUUUAAUUGUUUUAUUUUGUGUUUUUUUAUUUUAAUGUAAACCAGCCUGAGCCAAUGAAUGAAUGAAUGAAUGAAUGAAUGAAUGAAAUAAUAAAUAUUCAACAAAAUGCUAUUCAGGGCUGCUUGCCCUCUCUUAAAUGAAAACAACAACCACCCCCUACUAAAUGCAAAACAACAACAAAACCCACUAUUAAAUGCAAGCUCCCACACUACUAAAUUAAAAAAAAACACUACUAAAUGCAACAACCCCCCGCAAAGCCCACUACUAAAUGGGAAAAAACCCCACCACUAAAUGCACACACUCCACUAAUAAAUGCAAAAAAAAAAAUUCACUACUAAAUGCAAUAAAACAGAAGAUAAAAUAGACAAGAAAAAAGAGCAUUCACAACUAAAAACUGAGUAUUCUAAACAGGAGUUAAAAAAACAACCACCAUUGGCUCUGUUCACCAGCCAUUCUCAUUGAACUCUGUUGGUACAUUACUCGUCAGGUUUUUUCACCCGUCAGGCAUCCUUUUUCACUUGACACAGAUGGGUAGACUAGUGGAUUUUCUGAGCCCUGAUUCUAAACUUGGAUUGGAGAAAAAUGGAAUUUUUUCUUGGUGCAGAUCUCCUGACCUAGCUGCUUUGCGUGAGUAUUUGUUCAGUGAAUCUGAAAAAACUAUUAUUGUGAUGUUUGAAACUAACAUUUAACACAUUUGUUAAAGAUUUGUGGUAAUGUUUUAUUUUGAAACAUGAAUUAUUUGAAAUGAUGAAAGAAUGUUAAUAUGCCUAUAUAUUCUCUUUUUACCCAGCAGGUUGACUUGUAUACAGUGCCACGUGGAUGGUGCAUAAAUCCCUGCCAAGGAGGAUAUUGCAAGAAAUCGGAAAUGUAUAAAAGUGGCUACUGUCAGAGGGGUAUAUAUUAACCUAUGUCUAGAUAUGCUUUUGAUUUUCUUUUCCCCUAGCAAUCAAUCAAUGUAUCUAUAGACCAGAAAAAUUUCCCCUAGCAGACUGAUUUACAUAGACGGCCAUGUGGAUUGUGGGUAAAUCCCUACUUAGGAGGUUAUUUGAAGAAAUCCAAAGUGUAUAAAAGUGGCUGAUAUCAAAGAGGUAUGUAUCAACUCCUAUUUAGAUGUUUUUACUCCCUUAUUAGGAUGCUAGAUAUACAGUUAAGGUGACUCUAUUUAAAAGUCUUCUGUCUGGAUGAUUUUCCUCUCAAAAGAGACUUGUGCUGACAGGCUGAAAGUUGCUCUUACAAUAAGUGAUGUAGGGACAUAGGAGCUGAAGUCCUAUGGUCAGGGUGAAGUGCUGGUAACCUCUCCCCUGUAGCCUCCAAAGAAAAAGGAGAACUUUCUGCAACUGGAAGAAAAAAGAUGAAGUCUGAAGAAAAGAUUCACUGUGGAAGGAGCGGUCGGCUUGCCAUGGACUGUGAUGCUUUCUUGCUCCACGUUAUUGAUAGCCAGUUUAAUUUAUUGUUACCUUUAAAUUGUUGUUCUGUAUGUGAGCGUUCUGUGCAUUCAGUAUUUCUGUAAAGCCUUUGUGUAGAACCCGGGUUCUUCCUUUUGUAAUGUAUUUUAAAUGUAUGGAGAAUUUUUGUUGUAGCUGCUACACUUCUGAUCAAACCUAUGAUGUUGAAGAGCAAUUCUGACAAGAUGCAAAACAAGGGAGCCUUCUUCCUUAAAUCCAUGUGGUAAAUCCACGGGGGCUGCUCCAAGGACAGCAAUAUCUGACAUUUUGUUUGACAGAGAAUCCCACAAGUGGAUGAUGCGUUGUGUGAAAAAGUGUUUGUUUGUUGGUUCUAGAGGUGGUUCCUAUCCAAUUGCCUGGGAUGACCUCUGGUUCUAGUGUGAUGUGAGAGGGAGAAGAAUUUCUCUCCAUCCUCUUUCUCCACCCUAUGCCUGAUUUUAUAGACCUCUAUCAUGUC